rnacentral:rRNA from 1 species
UACAGGGGGUGCAAACGUUGCUCGGAAUUAUUGGGCGUAAAGCGCGCGUAGGCGGCUACUUAAGUCGGAUGUGAAAGCCCUUGGCUCAACUGAGGAAGUGCACCCGAAACUGAGUGGCUUGAGUACGAAAGAGGGUCGCGGAAUUCCCGGUGUAGAGGUGAAAUUCGUAGAUAUCAGGAAGAACACCUAUGGCGAAGGCAGCUCUCUGGGACGGUACUGACGCUGAGACGCGAAAGCGUGGGGAGCGAACAGG